UCCCUGUUACCAGGGCAGUCUGACUAGAAAAAUUCAACUAGCCACAAGGGUUGCGCUCGUUGAUGGACUUAACCAAACAUCUCACGACACGAGCUGACGACGGCCAUGCAGCACCUGUCACUUGGUUCCCGAAGGCACACUCUACUUUCGUAAAGCUUCCAAGGAUGUCAAGCCUGGGUAAGGUUCUUCGCUUAGCUUCGAAUUAAACAACACGCUCCACCGCUUGUGCGGGUCCCCGUCAAUUCCUUUAUGUUUUAGUCUUGCGACCGUACUCCACAGGCGGGAUGCUUAACGCGUUAGCUUCGCUACUAGAAGGGUCGAUACUUCUAACAGCUAGCAUCCAUAGUUUACGGCGUGGACUAC
rnacentral:misc_RNA from 1 species